rnacentral:rRNA from 1 species
GGCCUUGACAUACUAAGAACUUUCCAGAGAUGGAUUGGUGACCUUCGGGAACUUAGAUACAGGUGCUGCAUGGCUGUCGUCAGCUCGUGUCGUGAGAUUGUUCGGGUUAAGUCCCGCAACGAGCGCAACCCUUUUCCUAUUUGCCAGCGGGUCAUGCCGGGAACUUUAAGGAUACUGCCAGUGACAAACUGGAGGAAGGCGGGGACGACGUCAAGUCAUCAUGGCCCUUACGGCCAGGGCUACACACGUGCUACAAUGGUCGGUACAAAGGGUUGCUACCUCGCGAGAGGAUGCUAAUCUCAAAAAGCCGAUCGUAGUCCGGAUCGCAGUCUGCAACUCGACUGCGUGAAGUCGGAAUCGCUAGUAAUCGCGGAUCAGAAUGCCGCGGUGAAUACGUUCCCGGGCCUUGUACACACCGCCCGUCACACCAUGGGAGUUUGUUGCACCAGAAGUAGGUAGUCUAACCGCAAGGAGGACGCUUACCACGGUGUGGCCGAUGACUGGGGUGAAGUCGUAACAAGGUAGGCGUAGAUGA